UACAGAGGUGGCAAGCGUUGUUCGGAAUUACUGGGCGUAAAGGGCUCGUAGGCGGCCAACUAAGUCGGAUGUGAAAUCCCCAAGCUUAACUUGGGAACUGCAUCCGAUACUGGAUGGCUUGAAUCCGGGAGAGGGAUGCAGAAUUCCAGGUGUAGCGGUGAAAUGCGUAGAUAUCUGGAGGAAUACCGGUGGCGAAGGCGGCAUCCUGGACCGGCAUUGACGCUGAGGAGCGAAAGCUAGGGGAGCAAACGGGG
rnacentral:rRNA from 1 species